rnacentral:rRNA from 1 species
GGGUGAGUAACACGUGGAUAACCUACCUAUAAGACUGGGAUAACUUCUGGAAACCGGAGCUAAUACCGGAUAAUAUAUUGAACCGCAUGGUUCAAUAGUGAAAGACGGUUUUGCUGUCACUUAUAGAUGGAUCCGCGCCGCAUUAGCUAGUUGGUAAGGUAACGGCUUACCAAGGCGACGAUGCGUAGCCGACCUGAGAGGGUGAUCGGCCACACUGGAACUGAGACACGGUCCAG